rnacentral:rRNA from 1 species
AAGUGGAGCAAUCCAUGAGUAAAGUGGCGUACGGGUGAGUAACACGUGGAUCAUCUACCUCUUGGUGGGGAAUAACCCUGGGAAACCGGGGCUAAUACCGCAUAAGCCUGCGAAGGGAAAGCAGCAAUGCGCCGAGAGAGGAGUCCGCGGCCGAUUAGCUAGUUGGUAGGGUAAUGGCCUACCAAGGCAAUGAUCGGUAGCCGGCCUGAGAGGGCACACGGCCACACUGGCACUGAAACACGGGCCAGACUCCUACGGGAGGCAGCAGUGGGGAAUCUUGCACAAUGGAGGAAACUCUGAUGCAGCGACGCCGCGUGAGCGAUGAAGCCCUUCGGG